UCCAGCAGUUGUUUGUGCAUUUGGGCUGUGAGCUCAUUACCUCGGGGAUGGCAAAGCUGACUCGAUAAAGGACACGACCUGUGGCUCCCCUUGAAGAGGAAGACGUGAGCUGCUGUAAGAAUGCGAAAAAACUUCCGAGACCUAGGAUGUGGAGAACUGGGAUGACUGCUUUUGUACCCCAGAAGGACUUCACUCCCCGCGGCCUGAGGAGGAGCCCGAGGAGACACGCCGGGGAUGGAGCCGCCGCCGCCGACCCCCGGAGCUGCCGGCGGACCUGCCAGGACUAGCCAGUGUCCGCAGUGAGGACGCAGCCAUCCGCCUUCAAGUCGUAAUAGAAAGCCUGGAGGCAUGGCGUUUGUCCACACCACCAUUUUCUAGGAACUAGGAGGCCACCCUUCAGGAGUCUGGACCCUCCCCGCCUGCCGGGCCAGCUGUGUCCUUACCCCUACAGAGGCUUUAGCUGUCUGGAAAAGAAUCUGCUAGGAAGACCUGUGACUUUUGUGCCCUAGGCGACCUGCAACCCUAGGCCCUCCUGUAUAUCCAGCCCCCUGGAGCUUGAGACAAGAGGAAAGCCUCCACAGUAACAGCUCCCUGAGAGGGGGCUGCUUUCUCCCCACUGCCUAGUAGAGAGAACCAGGCUCAGAGCCUGACC